UCAGAUAUUAAAAGUCGAACAGACUGUGAAAUAAAGAAUGCUGCUUCUCUAACUAAUCUUAAUUCAACAUCGAGGUCGCAAAAAAUGAUAUAAAUAUGAACUCCCCAUCAUAAUUACGCUGUUAUCCCUAAGGUAACUUAAUCUUAUAAUUCUUAAUAAAGGUCUAAUUAUACACAUAUAAGUGAUUAAUAAAACUAAAGUUUAAAUUUAGCUACCACCCCAAUAAAAUAAUUGACCUAAAAAUUUAUAAUAAUAAAUAUAAACUAUAAGAUCAAAUAUAAAGUUCUAUAGGGUCUUAUCGUCCCAAGAAAAAAUUUAAGCAUUUUAACUUAAAAUUUAAAUUCUAAAAAUGAAAUUAAUAAAACCCAAUUCUCAUAUAUCCAUUCAUUCAAGCUCCUAAUUAAGAAACUAAUUACUAUGCUACCUUUGCACAGUCAAAAUACUGCAGCCAUUUAAAAAUUUUUCAUAGGGCAGAAAUUACCUUUUAAAAACCCA
rnacentral:rRNA from 1 species